rnacentral:tRNA from 1 species
GCUGUAGCUCAGUGGCAGAGCGCUUGCCUAGCAUGCAUGAGGCAUUGGGUUUGAUCCUCAGCAACGCA